rnacentral:lncRNA from 1 species
GAGGAAAUCAUGGAGCAGAAAAUUAACUCCACAUAGUUGAAUGGUUUGAAGGCUUCAGGAUGGUUUGGAAAUAAAAAUAUUGCAAUUCGAUUCACAAGGUUUAUUGAUCCGAAUUGUAUUUGUAUGUUUAACAGGUUGAGGAGCUGAUGUUCCAGUUGGACCACAUUACUGUUUCAGUUAUAUGCAGGGUGAGUUCCUUCCAUCAC